CAAUAUUGUGGGAUCUUCCAGGUAGAUAUGCAAAAGCUUCUUAAUUGCCGCUUGUAAAUAAAUACAUGGUAGUCACUUUUAGGGCUGUCCAGUUUUCGGUUUAAACUGAAAAACCAAACCAAACCAAUUUGGUUCAACUGGUUCGGUUUUUCGGUUCAAUCGAUUUUUUUUGGUUCAAUUGGUUUGGUUCGGUUUUAAUUUUUAGGUAACUUCAGGUUUUGGUUUGGUUAAUUCAGUGAAAAAACUGAACUAACCGAACUGACUGAAAUUCCCCUAAACUUCAUGCUUCGUCGUUUCCCAUGUUACAUAAAUAGACCUACUUCUCUCACUCAUUUCACUGUCUCAACACAACCACAACCCUCUCCUCUCACUAAGUCUCUCAACCCAGUGUUGUCAGCCUAUUGCCUCCCUUCACGUCCUCCUCUUCUUCUUCUUCUUCU
rnacentral:misc_RNA from 1 species